AGUGAACGCUGGCGGCAGGCCUAAUACAUGCAAGUCGAACGGCAGCACAGCAGAGCUUGCUCUGUGGGUGGCGAGUGGCGGACGGGUGAGGAAUACAUGGGAAUCUGCCCAGUCGUGGGGGAUAACGUAGGGAAACUUACGCUAAUACCGCAUGCGCCCUUCGGGGGAAAGCCGGGGACCUUCGGGCCUGGCGCGAUUGGAUGAGCCCAUGUCGGAUUAGCUAGUUGGCGGGGUAAUGGCCCACCAAGGCGACGAUCCGUAGCUGGUCUGAGAGGAUGAUCAGCCACACUGGAACUGAGACACGGUCCAGACUCCUACGGGAGGCAGCAGUAGGGAAUAUUGGACAAUGGGCGCAAGCCUGAUCCAGCCAUGCCGCGUGAGUGAAGAAGGCCCUCGGGUUGUAAAGCUCUUUUGUCCGGAAAGAAAAGCGCCGGGUUAAUACCCUGGUGUCCUGACGGUACCGGAAGAAUAAGCACCGGCUAACUUCGUGCCAGC
rnacentral:rRNA from 1 species